CAGCAGAAAACAGAAUGUUCGUGUCCAACAAAACCAUUUAACAAGGACAGAGUCCCAACUCUAACACUUUAGACCAAGUCACUCCUGCAUAAUGAGUCAAAAUAGUGAAAUAGAUUCUUCAAUACCUGGGAUGAACACUAACGGUAGCUGCCUCCGACCCGGUCAUAUGGACCAGAACGUUCACGGCUAUAGCUGCUAUAGCGGUCACCCACAGGCGCACCACGG
rnacentral:misc_RNA from 1 species